rnacentral:misc_RNA from 1 species
GAAAUGCGAUAAGUAAUGUGAAUUGCAGAAUUCCGUGAAUCAUCGAAUCUUUGAACGCACAUUGCGCCCUCUGGCAUUCCGGGGGGCAUGCCUGUCCGAGCGUCAUUACGCACCCUCAAGCCCGGCUUGUGUGAUGGGCCCCGGCGUCUCGUUCGCGAGACGGGCCCGAAAGGCAGCGGCGGCGUCGACUCGAUGAGCCCGAGCGUGUGGGGACUUCUGUCACACGUUCGCGGUGCGGACCGGCGCCUGCUUGACUUUUCUGAUUAUCCAGGUUGACCUCGGAUCAGGUAGGGAUACCCGCUGAACUUAAGC